rnacentral:pre_miRNA from 1 species
AAUAAACCAAUUCCUACGUUUUUGGAUUGAAUUUUUGACUCUUCGUCUUAUUUGAAAUUUUUUUAUGAUUAUUAUUUUUAUUGUUAUUACAUGAUAAAAUAUGAAUAGUACUUUGCAUGUGACUAUUUUUUUAAUUUUUUAAUAAAUUCUUCAAAUAAGAUGGAUGGUCAAACGCUCUAUAGGCAAAACUUAGA